rnacentral:rRNA from 1 species
UCAGGUUGAUCCUGCCGGACCUGACUGCUAUCUGAUUGGUACUAAGCCAUGCGAGCCGUUGUACACACAAGGCGGACUGCUCAGUACACGUAGUUAACUUAACCUAUGGAUGGGCAUAACCUCGGGAAACUGAGAAUAAUACCCAAUGGACCACAGUGCCUGGAAUGGCCUGUGGUUGAAAUGAUUUAUCGCCGUAGGAUAGGACUGCGGCCUAUCAGCUUGUUGGUGAGGUAAUGGCCCACCAAGGCUAUAACAGGUACGGGCUCUGAGAGGAGGGGCCCGGAGAUGGGUACUGAGACACGGACCCAGGCCCUAUGGGGCGCAGCAGGCGAGAAACCUUUGCAAUGUGCGAAAGCACGACAAGGUUAAUCCGAGUGUCUCCUGCUAAAGGAGUCUUUUGUCAGUUGUAGAAUCACUGGUGAAUAAGGGGUGGGCAAGUUCUGUGUCAGCCGCCGCGGUAAAACCAGCACCUCGAGUGGUCAGGAGGUUUAUUGGGCCUAAAGCAUCCGUAGCCGGUUGCAUAAGUUUUCGGUUAAAUCUAUGCGCUUAACGUAUAGGCCGCCGAAAAUACUGUACAGCUAGGGAGUGGGAGAGGUACACGGUACUCGAUAGGAAGG